AGCGAACGUUAGCGGCGGGCCUAACACAUGCAAGUCGAACGAGAAUGAGGGGGCAACUCCUCUAGUAAAGUGGCGGACGGGUGCGUAACACGUAGGUAAUCUACCUUCCGGCGGGGGACAACAGUCCGAAAGGAUUGCUAAUACCGCAUACGUCGGCGAGAUCUCCGGAUCUUGUCGGGAAAGACGGCCUCUCCUUGGAAGCUGUCACCGGAUGAUGAACCUGCGGCCCAUCAGCUAGUUGGCGAGGUAACGGCUCACCAAGGCGAAGAC
rnacentral:rRNA from 1 species